rnacentral:misc_RNA from 1 species
GGAGUACUUGAUGGGAGAUUUUGAAAGUAAUCCUGAUAUUGAUGAGAAUCCACCUAUUCCUCUUCGGGAUGCACUUGAGAAGAUGAAACCAUUUUUAAUGGCCUAUGAAAACAUCCAAAGCCACGAAGAGUGGGAGGAAAUCAUGGAAGAAACCAUGCAAAGAGUUCCACUGCUGAAGGAGAUAGUUGACUAUUACAGUGGACCAGAUAGAGUAACUGCAAAGCAACAACAAGGGGAGCUGGAAAGAGUUGCAAAAACACUUCCACAAAG